rnacentral:tRNA from 1 species
UUGAAAGAAGCCAAAAAGAGGCGUGUCACUGUUAAUGAUAUAAUUGAAAUUUAUUUUCCUUUUAAG